UCAAGGCCAUGAAGAUUCAGACUGAAGU
rnacentral:piRNA from 1 species